AAUAUUGGACAAUGGGGGAAACCCUGAUCCAGCCAUGCCGCGUGUGUGAAGAAGGUCUUCGGAUUGUAAAGCACUUUAAGUUGGGAGGAAGGGCGUCAAGCUAAUACCUUGAUGUUUUGACGUUACUAACAGAAUAAGCACCGGCUAACUUCGUGCCAGCAGCCGCGGUAAUACGAAGGGUGCAAGCGUUAAUCGGAAUUACUGGGCGUAAAGCGCGCGUAGGUGGUUUGUUAAGUUGGAAGUGAAAGCCCCGGGCUCAACCUGGGAACUGCUUUCAAAACUGCUGAGCUAGAGUACGGUAGAGGGUAGUGGAAUUUCCUGUGUAGCGGUGAAAUGCGUAGAUAUAGGAAGGAACACCAGUGGCGAAGGCGACUACCUGGACUGAUACUGACACUGAGGUGCGAAAGCGUGGGGAGCAAAC
rnacentral:rRNA from 1 species